rnacentral:tRNA from 1 species
GCCGGGGUGGUGAAAUUGGUAGACACGCGAGACUCAAAAUCUUGUGCUGGCAACAGCGUGUGGGUUCAAGUCCCACCCCCGGCACCA